rnacentral:rRNA from 1 species
GAUGAACGCUGGCGGCGUGCCUAAUACAUGCAAGUCGAGCGAACAGACGAGGAGCUUGCUCCUCUGACGUUAGCGGCGGACGGGUGAGUAACACGUGGAUAACCUACCUAUAAGACUGGGAUAACUUCGGGAAACCGGAGCUAAUACCGGAUAAUAUAUUGAACCGCAUGGUUCAAUAGUGAAAGACGGUUUUGCUGUCACUUAUAGAUGGAUCCGCGCCGCAUUAGCUAGUUGGUAAGGUAACGGCUUACCAAGGCAACGAUGCGUAGCCGACCUGAGAGGGUGGUCGGCCACACUGGAACUGAGACACGGUCCAGACUCCUACGGGAGGCAGCAGUAGGGAAUCUUCCGCAAUGGGCGAAAGCCUGACGGAGCAACGCCGCGUGAGUGAUGAAGGUCUUCGGAUCGUAAAACUCUGUUAUGAGGGAAGAACAAAUGUGUAAGUAACUAUGCACGUCUUGACGGUACCUAAUCAGAAAGCCACGGCUAACUACGUG